UUUGGCCGUAUCUUUAACUCUGCGGUCACAAAUUGCUAAUUUACAGGUAUGCUCGCGCGCGCAAGUGGUAUAAGAUUCGGCGCAUCGGCGCGGCUCCGCCGCGCGCCCCCGCGAACGGUGCACCGCGCAUCAUAGCGCGCAAAAAGUAUUGUAAACUGUAUUAUGUUUGGUACUCUCGUGCAUAGAAAUGUUUUACUCUCCUCAAUCCCUCGAGGUUAAUGUUAAAUCGGUUUCGUUACGCCUCAGAGUGGCACAGCUCACAACAUUACAUCGGCAAUUAUCGAGUUUUUGUCCCAUAAAAACAUUCGUCUAAAAAAAUUGUUAGUUGCCGGUUGUGAUGGCACCAAUGUGAAUACAGGCAGUAAGGGAGGAAUACUUGCAUUGUCAGAACGACAUAUGAAACGCCCGCUCCAAAGAGCAAUAUGUCUACUUCACUCCAAUGAGUUACCGUUGUGCCACUUAGUUGAUAAGCUUGACGGUCAAACUUCGGGGCCAACUUCAUUUUCUGGCCCAAUUGGCUCAGCUUUAAAAAAUUGCGAAAAUUAUUCAGUCAUUGAAUUUCAGCCCGUAAGUACGAUCUUGAGUGCUGAUAAUAUCGAACUUAAGUUACUGAGCAGUGACCAAAAGUAUUUGCUCGAAAUAUCUUGUGCAGUGUCGGAAGGAGUUUGUCCAGAGAGUCUGGCAAGAAGACGUCCAGGAAAAAUGGCACAUUCCAGAUGGCUUACUUUCGCCUGUCGCCUGCUGAGAUACUACAUCACAGUCGAGAACCCCGAUGAAGAUUUAAUUGUUUUGGUCUAUUUUGUGCAAAAAGUUUACGCGCCGACAUGGUUUUUGAUUAAGCGGAACCACUCUAUACAAGAUGGUGCAAAAAACCUAUGGCAAAUGAUCAACUGGUCAAGAUACCUACCUGAAAAUUUACGGCAAGUAGUAGACCCCGUUAUUCAGCGUAUCGGGUACUAUGGUCAUCCAGAAAGCAUCCUAAUUGCAAUGAUAGCCGACGAAAGAGCAGAGGUUCGGAGACAGGCGUGCAAAAAAAUUGCAGAUAUUCGGAAGUCUCAUCCCAAGUCAGAUCGAGUCCGAACAUUUCAGGUUCCACCCUUAAAUUUCAGUGCCACAGAUUACACCCAGCUUGUGAACUGGACUGAAACUGUCUUUUCGGAACCUACCGUUAUCAUGGAGCUAUCAGAUGAAGACAUUGAGUCUUUCAUUGAAGAAUGCUCUCCAUUCAGACUAAGUUUCCCGUGCCACACAUAGGCAGUGGAGAGAAUGGUAAAGGAAGUGACCCAGGUCUCCAAACAUGUUGCAAAAGAAGAGGAGCGACACUUCUAUAUUUCGAAGAGGCUGGAAAGCAGAAGGAAAAUGCCUACCUUCGAAACAAAGUCUCAAUUUUGUCUAUGAUGUGCAUUAACGAUGUCCAAGAUAAUGUGAGGAAAUUUAUGUCUAUAUCUUCUUUUGUAAUUUUC
rnacentral:lncRNA from 1 species